rnacentral:lncRNA from 1 species
CCUGACUCUAUGGAAAUACCCUUUUCAACAAAGGUAAUACAUUACUGUUCAAACAAAAAUUUAAUGAUUUCAGUUCAUUGGUUCUUUACAAAUGAGAAAAAGGAAAACUACUGGGGGCCUGCAGCAGGAAAACCACUUUAAUCCAGGCAUUCCAGACCAUCCUGGCGACAUAGCAAGACCGCAUCUCAAAACAAGUGGGCCAUCCUGUAGCAAGCCCAGAAUCGAUUCCAAGCAGUGUGACGACGUUUGCUUUCUGAACUCUGCCAGCCAGCGACCUCCCUGCGCAUAUAAAGCCUCAGGACACACAGGUAAGAGGAUCAGCCCAUCUUUGUUAGAUGUGUGUUUUGUUUACAGGGCUGAAGCCCAGUUUCUGGCACAAAGGAAAUACUCUAUAAACACUCUUUUCUACACUGUGGAUCCUAUACACAGUGUAGACAAACAGACUACAUACCAGAUUGCAAGCAGGUACAGGGAAAGUCCCUUUUUAUGCCUGAGAAUUUUCCCUUAGGACAAGACCUACUGAUCACACCUUCUCUGCAUACAGUUCUAGGCCACUAGUCUCUUUCCUUUCUGUUGUCUCCUCCUUGUCACCUUUAUGAUCUUCUAGAGAACAAUUUCUUUUUAUUAGAAAAAGCCCAAGCUUUGUGUCACGUCACUGAGGGGGAACUGGCAUUAAAUAUUGCCAAUACCUGUGAGAUUAAGGCUAAGACAUACCUGCAAAGCCAGGAGCUGACAGGGCAUUGCUCUUUGAAUGCCUCUUCCUCGAUCUCAAUCCUAGGUGGGCCAUCCAGGUACACACAUGCAGUCACACAAUCACACACACAUAUAUACACAGUUAUAAACACAUAUACACACAGUCACAUACACACAUACAUACAUGGAGUUAUAAACACAUAUACACACAGUCACAUACACAGUCACAUAUACAUACACACACACACACACACACACACACACACAAGUCACCUUCUCCUUCAGCAUCUAUUUAUUCAUUCCAGUAGCAUACAAGUGUGUGUCCAACACUGCCCUAGAUACUUAGGCAUCUUUUGGGCACAAAAGCACACAUCUCACCGGCUUCUCAGUCCCCUCAGACUUCGCUUGAAUGCUUUUUUGAGUCCCGGGUGUGUGCAUGUGUGUGCACAUAUAUAUGCAUAUAUGUAUGUGUAACCACACUAGAUAACAUGUAUAUAUGUCCUUACAACUUUUUUUCACCUCCAUCCCUCACACUUCCUGACUAUGUUUAGAAUGCCCUACGGUUCUGCCUUCUUCACUUCCUGUUCCUUUCUCAACUCCCAUAAUGGCAACCCUGAGUUGUGAAAAGAACAAAUUUGAGGGAGAAUUUAGCCUAUUACAUGUAUUUCUCUUUGAAAAAGACCUUGUUGCUUGCCUUCCAUAUUCCAGGACAAUGCUCUGUAUUUCUGGUCUAGGCAAGAGAGAGAGAGGCCAGGUUGCAGCAGGUAAGCAGGUCAGGUUGUUCAAUUGUUCAAAGCAGACCUACAUAAGGUGAGCAUGGGAGAACAUGGCCAACUUGUCCAGCCCUAGCAUCAACUGCUCCUAAGCCAGAGAGCCCAUUGAUCUCAGCCACUGACUGGCACCCUUCCAGGGAUAACUAUGUGGGUGUGGCCUAGACUUAUGGGUCCUGAUCUCCCUUGUGGGUUCUUUCUAACCAUCUACCUCUUCCCCAGGGCCCACAUCUUUCCCUUUCAAACUAGCUCUUAAACCAGCUUAUAAAACCUCUUGGGAGGAUCCCAGAACAGAAAACUUCCAAAUUAAGGGAUUACUUCACCAGAAACUAUAAAAUGUGGUAGGUUGGAUACUGGCUCAGGGAGUUAAGACAUGUUCAAAAUACACAUGCCCAUUCAAAUAGAGGGAUGGAGACUUUCUGGGCUAGCCAGAGGAAGGUGGCCAUCCUUACCAUCCCAACAGAUCUUACUCCACAAUAGCCACAGAGAUCAUGAGAUAGCUGUAUAAUAAAGGGCAUAAACCAACUGGUAUCACUAUCUGUGCUGCUUCUCUGAAGGAUCUGGGGAAUACAGAGAUCUUAAGUUCAAUUCUCAGCAACCACAUGGUGGCUCACAACCAUCUAUAAUGGGUUCUGAUGCCCUCUUCUGGAAUGCAGGUAUACAUGCCGACAGAGCACCCAUGUUCAUAAAAUAAAUACGUCUUUUUAAAAAAAUGAAAGAAAGAAAGAGAGAGAGAGAGAAAGAGAGGGA